rnacentral:rRNA from 1 species
UGGGGAAUAUUGGACAAUGGGCGAAAGCCUGAUCCAGCCAUGCCGCGUGUGUGAAGAAGGUCUUCGGAUUGUAAAGCACUUUAAGUUGGGAGGAAGGGCAGUAAGCGAAUACCUUGCUGUUUUGACGUUACCGACAGAAUAAGCACCUGCUAACUCUGUGCCAGCAGCCGCGGUAAUACAGAGGGUGCAAGCGUUAAUCGGAAUUACUGGGCGUAAAGCGCGCGUAGGUGGUUCGUUAAGUUGAAUGUGAAAGCCCCGGGCUCAACCUGGGACCUGCAUCCAAAACUGGCGAGCUAGAGUAGGGCAGAGGGUGGUGGAAUUUCCUGUGUAGCGGUGAAAUGCGUAGAUAUAGGAAGGAACACCAAUGGCGAAGGCGACCACCUGGGCUCAUACUGACACUGAGGUGCGAAAGCGUGGGGAGCAAACAGG